AAGGUGGAAUAAAAUUAUUGAGCAGAUUAUGUUAAUGUUAGUCUUUUGUUUUACCCCUUAACCUGUAGCUAGUUGGAGCAGGAUCUUUUGAUAAACAAAUGAAGAAAGAAAGUCUCUGUGCCUUAGAAGCUGAAAGGUACUGUAUUGAGAUAUAAUUUAGCAGUAUUAGAAUCAGUUUUAAAAUCCAUUCUUGUUAUUUACGAACACUAUUGAUUAGGAAGCUUACACCAAUGGCACUGUCUUAGUGUCUUGUAUCGAGACCUUAGAGAUGUACAUCAUCUAAACAAUGCAAGUAAUGUGAAUCUAUGAUAAUGUAAUAAAUUGGAAGUUUAUAUGAUUGCGGAGAUCCACAUUAUAUAUGAUUGCACUCUGUCUUCUGAUAUAUAUCCUCUUGUCUUUUACAUGUCAUAGGGAUUUGAUAAGGGUUUACUGCUUAGAAGGCUAUCCAAAAUGGAAGUACAUGCUCCGAAAAUUCAUUCUUCUGAGAAAGUAUGAGAAGAAUCCAAAAGGACGGCGUAGAAAUGGAAAGAUUCAAAGGGUAUCUGCACUGCCGACUCUGCGAAUAAGCUGCCGAUUGGUGCGAUAAAAAGUGGACAGUGGCUACAUGGUUUUUACCAUUCGGCAGAAAAGGUCACUGUCUCUGUAAUCCUAAGUUCUUUUAGUUUUAAAAAUCCUGUGAUCGUAAGUUGAAUUGCAUUAAGUUAUGAUGUUAUAGCAUGCCUUGUACUGUUUAUGUUUCAUACAAUUUGCUGUGCUCUACCAUUUCAAACUUGCAGAGACCCUUUGUGUCUCUACAACAAUUUGUUCAGCUUCUCAAAGAUUAUAAAUUUGCUUUCAUUUAUCCAUUCCAAACACUAACUAGAAGUAAAAGCACACAAAUGUAUAUUAUACACACAAUAAAAGCAAAAAAUCAACAGGGAAGGCCUUGUGGAGUAUUAUGUUGGAUCUUCUCCGCGUUUCCUUCACUGGUAUGAACGUUCAAUACGAUAGUAGUACUCCUGGAAUAUAUAUGUAUCCUCUGACACAAGGUUUUUGUAGUUGUCUAAGAUGUUUCAUCUAAAAUGCACAGUAUAUCUUGCUUCUGAUCAGUGUGAAUCAUCACAAGCUUCUAACUUUUCUUUGAGAUACCUAUGAAAUUCAUCUUUUUUGCUGAGAGA